GCGGCCUAUCAGCUUGUUGGUGAGGUAAUGGCUCACCAAGGCGACGACGGGUAGCCGGCCUGAGAGGGCGACCGGCCACACUGGGACUGAGACACGGCCCAGACUCCUACGGGAGGCAGCAGUGGGGAAUAUUGGGCAAUGGAGGAAACUCUGACCCAGCGACGCCGCGUGAGGGAUGAAGGCCUUCGGGUUGUAAACCUCUUUCAGUAGGGAAGAAGCGAAAGUGACGGUACCUACAGAAGAAGCACCGGCUAACUAUGUGCCAGCAGCCGCGGUAAUACAUAGGGUGCAAGCGUUGUCCGGAAUUAUUGGGCGUAAAGAGCUCGUAGGUGGUUCGAUACGUCGGAUGUGAAAAUCAGGGGCUCAACCCCUGACCUGCAUCCGAUACGGUCGAGCUGGAGUUUGGUAGGGGAGACUGGAAUUCCU
rnacentral:rRNA from 1 species